UACGUAGGGUGCGAGCGUUGUCCGGAAUUAUUGGGCGUAAAGAGCUCGUAGGCGGUUUGUCGCGUCGGCCGUGAAAACUUGGGGCUUAACUCCAAGCUUGCGGUCGAUACGGGCAGACUUGAGUUCGGCAGGGGAGACUGGAAUUCCUGGUGUAGCAGUGAAAUGCGUAGAUAUCAGGAGGAAUACCGAUGGCGAAGGCAGGUCUCUGGGCUGACACUGACGCUCAUGCACGAAAGCGUGGGGAGCAAACAGG
rnacentral:rRNA from 1 species